UACGUAGGUGGCGAGCGUUGUCCGGAUUUACUGGGCGUAAAGGGAGCGUAGGCGGACUUUUAAGUGAGAUGUGAAAUACUCGGGCUCAACUUGAGCGCUGCAUUUCAAACUGGAAGUCUAGAGUGCAGGAGAGGAGAAUGGAAUUCCUAGUGUAGCGGUGAAAUGCGUAGAGAUUGGGAAGAACACCAGUGGCGAAGGCGAUUCUCUGGACUGUAACUGACGCUGAGGCUCGAAAGCGUGGGGAGCAAACAGG
rnacentral:rRNA from 1 species